rnacentral:rRNA from 1 species
UCGUCACACUAUCAUUAACUGAAUCCAUAGGUUAAUGAGGCGAACCGGGGGAACUGAAACAUCUAAGUACCCCGAGGAAAAGAAAUCAACCGAGAUUCCCCCAGUAGCGGCGAGCGAACGGGGAGGAGCCCAGAGCCUGAAUCAGCAUGUGUGUUAGUGGAAGCGUCUGGAAAGGCGCGCGAUACAGGGUGACAGCCCCGUACACAAAAGCGCAUGUGCUGUGAGCUCGAUGAGUAGGGCGGGACACGUGGUAUCCUGUCUGAAUAUGGGGGGACCAUCCUCCAAGGCUAAAUACUCCUGACUGACCGAUAGUGAACCAGUACCGUGAGGGAAAGGCGAAAAGAACCCCGGCGAGGGGAGUGAAAAAGAACCUGAAACCGUGUACGUACAAGCAGUGGGAGCACAGGUUUACCUGUGUGACUGCGUACCUUUUGUAUAAUGGGUCAGCGACUUAUAUUCUGUAGCAAGGUUAACCGAAUAGGGGAGCCGGAGGGAAACCGAGUCUUAACCGGGCGUUAAGUUGCAGGGUAUAGACCCGAAACCCGGUGAUCUAGCCAUGGGCAGGUUGAAGGUUGGGUAACACUAACUGGAGGACCGAACCGACUAAUGUUGAAAAAUUAGCGGAUGACCUGUGGCUGGGGGUGAAAGGCCAAUCAAACCGGGAGAUAGCUGGUUCUCCCCGAAAGCUAUUUAGGUAGCGCCUCGUGAAUUCAUCUCCGGGGGUAGAGCACUGUUUCGGCUAGGGGGCCAUCCCGGCUUACCAACCCGAUGCAAACUGCGAAUACCGGAGAAUGUUAUCACGGGAGACACACGGCGGGUGCUAACGUCCGUCGUGAAGAGGGAAACAACCCAGACCGCCAGCUAAGGUCCCAAAGUCAUGGUUAAGUGGGAAACGAUGUGGGAAGGCCCAGACAGCCAGGAUGUUGGCUUAGAAGCAGCCAUCAUUUAAAGAAAGCGUAAUAGCUCACUGGUCGAGUCGGCCUGCGCGGAAGAUGUAACGGGGCUAAACCAUGCACCGAAGCUGCGGCAGCGACACUGUGUGUUGUUGGGUAGGGGAGCGUUCUGUAAGCCUGUGAAGGUGUGUCGUGAGGCAUGCUGGAGGUAUCAGAAGUGCGAAUGCU